GAUGAACGCUAGCUACAGGCUUAACACGUGCAAGUCGAGGGGUAACGAGAGGAAAGCUUGCUUUCCUUGUCGACGACCGGCGCACGGGUGAGUAACGCGUAUCCAACCUGCCCCCAACUAGGGAAUAACCUUGCGAAAGUAAGACUAAUACCCUAUAAUUUCCUCAGAUGUCAUCUGACGAGGAAUAAAGAUUUAUCGGUUGUGGAUGGGGAUGCGUCUGAUUAGCUUGUUGGCGGGGUAACGGCCCACCAAGGCAACGAUCAGGAGGGGUUCUGAGAGGAAGGUCCCCCACAUUGGAACUGAGACACGGUCCAAACUCCUACGGGAGGCAGCAGUGAGGAAUAUUGGUCAAUGGGCGGAGGCCUGAACCAGCCAAGUAGCGUGCAGGAUGACGGCCCUAUGGGUUGUAAACUGCUUUUAUACAGGAAUAAAGUUAGCCACGUGUGGUUAUUUGUAGGUACUGUAUGAAUAAGGACCGGCUAAUUCCGUGCCAGCCGCCGCAGUAA
rnacentral:rRNA from 1 species